CUCUGUUUUGCUGGUGAGCACGCGCACGCAGCAAAACACCUGAGCCAAUCCGCAAGCGACACGUGGUAAACCGGUACAGUGAAUGCUACAGCGAUCGCUACAGUAUUUUUACAGAACAGAAUUUUCUUUUUGUUUUUCACAGAUUUUCAUCCAAAAUUCUUUUAGCUAUAUCUUUUGUUCUAUAAGUCCAAUUUAGGUAAUUCUUUUUUCCUUUGAUCUCACAGAAAUCAGCCCUUCAUGACAGUACCAAAAAUUCUCAUGUUUGCACUAUUUAAAUUUGAAUUCGUUCAAAUUCAAAUUAAACCUUCCGGAGGCCGUAACUUUCAAACCAUUUAUCGGAAUCGAGUGAUUCUUUUUGCGUUAUAACCGUAGUGCAAUUUAGGUGUUGUUAUGCUGCUAUUGUCAUGUUUCAAAAAUGGUUUUCUUGUUGUUGGUUUUGUUUUGGUUCUAUUCGUGUUCCGGUGAUUGAUUUGUUGAAUUGUGUGAAACGUGUAGAUUGUCCGGAGUGCGAUGCAAGCUAUUGUCAGGAGUGUGACUUUCUAAACUAGAGCCAAGGCAAGUUACAUGUUGAUCAUCCUUUACCUAUUGUUUUCUAUGCAUGUAGUUAUAUCACACUAUGAAUAUAUGCAUGUAUAGGAUUAAUAUAUAAUUUUGCUAUGCUAUUGAGAUAUCUUCCUGUGUUUUGCAAAUCGUGGUAGUUGUAGUUUGCUAUGCUUUGUAGACGGGGGUGGUUCGUGUAUUCAUUGAGUUUAUGUGAGGAUUAUAUAUAUAACUAAAUUGAGUAGUAAUUAAGGAUUUAACUCACCUCUGGGCAGAAAGUGGUAUUGCUUGGUGUUGAGGGAAGGCAUCAUGGGGUCUUGCACCUUUUCUAAGGCCAUGCGCUCAUGAGAGUGCAACCUAAGUGGAAUGCCGCUCAGGCUCGAAAGGAUCAGACAGACUUAGUGACUAGUAGCUUCCAUGUGCGGGAACUGGCUAUAUGGGUUCUGGCUUAGUUGAUCAGUUGUUGGGACCCUGGCCCAAACAGUGUCGACAGAUGUAGCAUAUGUAGGUGGGAUGUGGCCGUCAGGUGCUUAAGGGAACCUCUUCUGAAAGACUUUGUCUCAAUCUUCGGAUUGGGUCCAGUGGGUAAAGCGUACAAAACUCUGCAGAGUAUUAAAACUAAUCAUGAUUAGUCGUGCCCCCGGUUAGGGGUAAAUUUGAGCCACUAUGCCGUUAUAGUUGUUGGAUGAUCUUGACAGGUGUGACACUUAAUAAAUUUGUUGGGCAACUUAAUAAAGGGUAGGUUGGAGUUGAUUUUGCCAACUCAACCUUGUGUAUAUAAUUGUAGUAAUAAAAGAACUAAAUAAAAAUUUGACUAUUUGGUAGUUAUUAGGACAAAAUCAGCUUUCCGCAAAAAUAAACCCUCAAGCCUUCCUUUGUUGUACUAUGCAUAUACAUGUAGGUCUGCUAUAUUAUUACUCCUGUGUAACUUGCCAAUACAUUCAAAGUACUAACCUAUGUAGCUGCAACGUCUCAUGUUGCAGGAUAUUCAGACGAAGAGUAAGGUACCAUUAGGGACACGAGUCUGCACUCAGCAUCGCCAGUGGGCUAUGAUGGGACUCAUCGUUAUUUUCUGCUACUUUCCGCUGUUUGAUUGAAUAAAGCUAGCCAUGUGCUAUGCAGAUUGUUUUAUUUUAUACAUUCUGGAUCAUACGUUGUAAUAAAUGAUGCACUUGCUAUUCUGGUAUUCAUCUAUAUUGUGUGUG
rnacentral:lncRNA from 1 species